CUGGCUCAGGACGAACGCUGGCGGCGUGCCUAAUACAUGCAAGUCGAGCGAACAGAGAAGGAGCUUGCUCCUUUGACGUUAGCGGCGGACGGGUGAGUAACACGUGGGCAACCUACCUUAUAGUUUGGGAUAACUCCGGGAAACCGG
rnacentral:rRNA from 1 species